rnacentral:snoRNA from 1 species
ACCUUCUUGUAUAAGCACUAUGCUAAAAUUGCAGAAACUAGGAUCACAUCUUGGUUUUUGUAAUAAUGCUAGCAAAGUACACACAAGAAGAAAAGUAACUGAGAUGAUAAAAGGGCUGGCUCUAAUGUUU